AACGAACGCUGGCGGCGUGCCUAACACAUGCAAGUCGAACGGAAGUAAGAAGCUUGCUUUUUACUUUAGUGGCGCACGGGUGAGUAACGCGUGGAUAAUCUGCCUGAUGCUCUGGGAUAACAUCUCGAAAGGGGUGCUAAUACCGGAUAAGCCCACGAGAACUUCGGUUUUUGCGGGAAAAGGAGGGGACCUUCGGGCCUUCCGACAUCAGAUGAGUCCGCGUCCCAUUAGCUAGUUGGUGGUGUAAAGGACCACCAAGGCGACGAUGGGUAGCUGGUCUGAGAGGAUGAUCAGCCACACUGGAACUGAGACACGGUCCAGACUCCUACGGGGGGCAGCAGUGGGGAAUUUUGCGCAAUGGGGGCAACCCUGACGCAGCAACGCCGCGUGAGUGAUGAAGGCUUUCGGGUCGUAAAGCUCUGUCAGAAGGGAAGAAAUGUAGGUGGCUAAUAUCCAUUCUACUUGACGGUACCUUCAAAGGAAGCACCGGCUAACUCCGUGCCAGCAGCCGCAGUAAUAC
rnacentral:rRNA from 1 species